GUGAUUCAUGACUGGGGUGAAGUCGUAACAAGGUAACCGUAGGGGAAYCUGCGGUUGGAUCACCUCCUUACCUUAAAGAA
rnacentral:rRNA from 1 species